rnacentral:rRNA from 1 species
GAUGAACGCUGGCGGCGUGCUUAACACAUGCAAGUCGAACGAAGCACUUGAAAUUGAUUUCUUCGGAAAGAUUUUUCUUGUGACUGAGUGGCGGACGGGUGAGUAACGCGUGGGCAACCUGCCUCAUACAGGGGGAUAACAGUUAGAAAUGACUGCUAAUACCGCAUAAGCGCACAGUACCGCAUGGUACGGUGUGAAAAACUCCGGUGGUAUGAGAUGGGCCCGCGUCUGAUUAGCUAGUUGGAGGGGUAACGGCCCACCAAGGCGACGAUCAGUAGCCGACCUGAGAGGGUGACCGGGCCACAUUGGGACUGAGACACGGGCCCAAACUCCUACGGGAGGCAGCAGUGGGGAAUAUUGCACAAUGGGGGAAACCCUGAUGCAGCGACGCCGCGUGAAGGAAGAAGUAUC